AUAAAACAGCUGCGAGAUGCGAGAGCCGGAGAUGAUUCACGACGCAAACACCGGCCGAAGGCGUGUUUGGUGAGAAGAAACCUUUAGUCAUCGACCUGCUCGUCCAUGGUGAUCACGUGACGCACCUCGGCCGCAGCCACUCCGAUGUCGGCACCUUUCACACAGUGGCUCGGUGCAAAAAGUCACUGCACGCUUCUUGUUGGCUUUGUUCCGACCUCUUAAUUUACCCCCCCGACGGCGAGAUUGUGUUUCUGGUUUUUGUUCGUUUGUCUGGAUUAUCGCUGCACUCGGCGGGAAGGUGAGCCGCCGGCCAAAGGAAGGAGCCGUGGCAUUUGGGAGUGGAUCCGCAUCACUGGGCCGGUACCUGGACUUUGCAGAACUGCAGGAUUAGCGAACAAUAAAA
ensembl:lncRNA